GAGUUUGAUCCUGGCUCAGGAUGAACGCUAGCGGCAGGCUUAACACAUGCAAGUCGAGGGGUAUAGGUUUUCGGACCUAGAGACCGGCGCACGGGUGCGUAACGCGUAUGCAAUCUACCUUUUACAGAGGGAUAGCCCAGAGAAAUUUGGAUUAAUACCUCAUAGUAUUAUUGAAUGGCAUCAUUUAAUAAUUAAAGUUCCAACGGUAAAAGAUGAGCAUGCGUCCCAUUAGCUAGAUGGUAAGGUAACGGCUUACCAUGGCGACGAUGGGUAGGGGUCCUGAGAGGGAGAUCCCCCACACUGGUACUGAGACACGGACCAGACUCCUACGGGAGGCAGCAGUGAGGAAUAUUGGUCAAUGGGCGCAAGCCUGAACCAGCCAUGCCGCGUGCGGGAAGACGGCCCUAUGGGUUGUAAACUGCUUUUACACCGGAGAAAACCCCUUCUCGUGAGGAGGGCUGAUAGUAUGGUGAGAAUAAGCAUCGGCUAACUUCGUGCCAGCCGCCGCAGUAA
rnacentral:rRNA from 1 species